AACUUCUAGCAAUGUAUCACUUGGCUCUCGCAUCGAUUAAGAACGCAGCGAAAUGCGAUAAGUAAUGUGAAUUGCAGAAUUCAGUGAAUCAUCGAAUCUUUGAACGCACCUUGCGCUCCUUGGUAUUCCGAGGAGCAUGCCUGUUUGAGUGUCAUUAAUAUAUAUCAAACUUCUCUUGUUGAGUUGUUUGGAUGUGGGGGUUUGCUGGCCUCUUAAAGGGGUUCAGCUCUCCUGAAAUGCAUUAGCAGAACAACCUGUUCAUUGGUGUGAUAAACUAUCUACGCUAUUGAAUGUGAAGGGAAGUUCAGCUUUCUAACAGUCUUUGGACAAAUUCAUCAUUAAUGUGACCUCAAAUCAGGUGGGACUACCCGCUGAACUUAAGCAUAUCAAUAAGCGGAGGCU
rnacentral:misc_RNA from 1 species